rnacentral:rRNA from 1 species
GACGAACGCUGGCGGCGUGCUUAACACAUGCAAGUCGAACGGAAAGGCCCUGCUUUUGUGGGGUUCUCGAGUGGCGAACGGGUGAGUAACACGUGAGUAACCUGUCCUUGACUUUGGGAUAACUUCAGGAAACUGGGGCUAAUACCGGAUAGGGUCUCUUGCUGCAUGGUGGGGUUUGGAAAGUUUCGGCGGUUGGGGAUGGACUCGCGGCUUAUCAGCUUGUUGGUGGGGUAGUGGCUUACCAAGGCUUUGACGGGUAGCCGGCCUGAGAGGGUGACCGGCCACAUUGGGACUGAGAUACGGCCCAGACUCCUACGGGAGGCAGCAGUGGGGAAUAUUGCACAAUGGGCGGAAGCCUGAUGCAGCAACGCCGCGUGCGGGAUGACGGCCUUCGGGUUGUAAACCGCUUUCGCCUGUGACGAAGCGUGAGUGACGGUAAUGGGUAAAGAAGCACCGGCUAACUACGUG